AUUGAACGCUGGCGGCAUGCUUUACACAUGCAAGUCGAACGGUAACAGGUUAAGCUGACGAGUGGCGAACGGGUGAGUAAUGCAUCGGAACGUGCCCGGUCGUGGGGGAUAACGCAGCGAAAGCUGCGCUAAUACCGCAUACGAUCUGAGGAUGAAAGCGGGGGACCGUAAGGCCUCGCGCGAUCGGAGCGGCCGAUGUCAGAUUAGGUAGUUGGUGGGGUAAAGGCCUACCAAGCCGACGAUCUGUAGCUGGUCUGAGAGGACGACCAGCCACACGGGGACUGAGACACGGCCCAGACUCCUACGGGAGGCAGCAGUGGGGAAUUUUGGACAAUGGGCGCAAGCCUGAUCCAGCAAUGCCGCGUGCAGGAAGAAGGCCUUCGGGUUGUAAACUGCUUUUGUACGGAGCGAAAAGGCUCUCUCUAAUACAGGGGGCUCAUGACGGUACCGUAAGAAUAAGCACCGGCUAACUACGUGCCAGCAGCCGCCGCCG
rnacentral:rRNA from 1 species